CUGAUGUCGUGCACUCAUUUUCUUUUUGCUUAGUGUGGUUCUCUUUGUGCAGUGACUUUUAUUUCGUUGGCCAGUGCCAGUAUGUAGAGUGAAGUGCCUUGUAAGUAAUGUGUGUUUGAACGUGUGUUGAAAAAAGCGACACUUAGGCGACCUCGAGUGGUUUAGGAUUUGAUCAAUGCAUGAAAGUGGGACAAAAGAUGGAGAAAUAAGUAACUAUAGUCACAUAACUCAUGAAUGUAUGAUAAUGUCAAAUUCUUUGUAUAAAUGUACCAAUUUUCCUAUCUAACAUAGGAUUAGUCUAGCAGCCUAUAAAAAAGUAUAAAUUGCCGCCUUGCCUAGGUGCUAGGGCGAGCCUGACCGCCUGCCUAGCACCUAGCACUUUUUGAAACCUUGGUUUGAACUAGUUUUGUAUUUAUUAUUCUUCUUUAAUGAAAUAAUACGCAGCUCACCUGCAUAUUCGGUGAGAAGAAAAAGAAGUAUUAGUUUUACUUUUUUUUUUCUCAAACACGCAGGAGAAGUAUCAGUUUUACUGUAUGACAAUGUGCUAGCUGGUUUUUACAAUUUUGCAUCCCAGAGAACCAACGUUUGAGGCUUUGAACCACACAAAUUGGAUUUACACUUACUUGAAUGGUAAUUCAGAAAAAAGAGUUACUGCUGUUUUCAGAACAGAAUAAAUCUGUUGCUGAUGGUCUAUUGAAUUCUGAACUAAGAAAAAACACGAGAAAAUGCUAUGUUUCUAACUUUUCCAGCAGGGUUGUUAGAAGCUAGUUGAAGCUUGAUAGUGGAACACUAUUCUGUUAUAAGUUAUUGUAGACUAAGAAAGAGUUUCUCCAAUCUGCUUUUUGUUCAUAGCCUCAUAUCGUCAAGUUUAUGUCAUGUAUCUUGUUUCAAUUUCGAAUCUUGAAGACAAAUGACCAUAGCAUGUUAUAUUGGGAAUAGUUUUGCCUCACCUGUUUGCUCUGGCAAAAAGU